ACGCUCGACACCUACGGGAGGCAGCAGUGAGGAAUAUUGGUCAAUGGGCGCAGGCCUGAACCAGCUAAGUAGCGUGAAGGAUGACUGCCCUAUGGGUUGUAAACUUCUUUUAUAUGGGAAUAAAGUUUUCCACGUGUGGAAUUUUGUAUGUACCAUAUGAAUAAGGAUCGGCUAACUCCGUACCAGCAGCCGCGGUAAUCUGAGCGGGCUGGCAAGGC
rnacentral:rRNA from 1 species